GCGGACGAAAACCCUUUAUCAGAACAGAGCGUCACACAGCACAUAACAGAGAAGCUGGCCCUCACCUCCAACGUUUUGCAGUCGGCCAAGGAGCAGAUCAAGUGGUCCAUCCUGAAAUGAUUUUUUGCCACGUUUUCUUACAAGUGUUUUUGUUUUGUUUUUGUUUUGUUUUGUUUUGUAUCUCAAAUGAAGAAGUCUUGUUACAUAAUUAAUAAUAGUAAUAAUAAUUUUCUGUAGAUGUAUUUAUUUAUGUGGUCGAUAAGGGAUUUUUUUGUGUUUGAAGAAUCUUUGUUACGAUUUGCUAAAGCUGCAUUUUACAAUUUUUCCGGAUUUUUUUGUCCCAAACCUGAAGAGUGCACUGACAUAGUUCGCAAAAAAAACAUAAUUUAUUUUGUGUAAAUUGUGAGAAUUAGUUACAGUGUUGGGGAGUAACAGAUUACAUGUACCAGAGUUACGUAAUCAGAGUACAAAUUAUGAGUAACUGUAUUCGGAUUACAGUUACUUUGUUGAAGUAAAUGGAUUACACGGCGGGAUUUUCCUGUUUUCACAUUUUGGGCUAUUCUCUCUUUUUUUGUUUUUUGUUUGGUAAUUCCACUCAUUGCUGGAAACUAAACCAGGACUAAACCAGGUCUAAACCAGGUCUAAACCAGGUCUAAACCAGGUCUAAACCAGGACUAAACCAGGACUAAACCAGGACUAAAACCAGGACUAAACCAGGACUAAACCAGGACUAAACCAGGACUAAAGCCAGGUAAAAACCCAGGUCUAAGCCUGGUCUAAAACCAGGUCUAAACCCAGGUCUAAACCAGGUCUAAAACCAGGUCUAAACCCAGGUCUAAACCAGGUCUAAAACUAGGUCUAAAACUAGGUCUAAAACCAGGUCUAAAACCAGGACUAAAGCAGGACUAAAGCAGGAUUUAUGCAGGACUAAAAUCAGGUCCAAACCAGGACUAAACCAGGACUAAACCAGGAUUUAUGCAGGACUAAAGCAGGACUAAAACCAGGUCCAAACCAGGACUGAACCAGGACUAAACCAGGACUAAACCAGGAUUUAACAGGACUAAACCAGGACUAAACCAGGAUUUAACAGGACUAAACCAGGACUAAACCAGGAUUUAACAGGACUAAAUCCUGCCGCACGGACCAUGUUUCCUCUUCUUCUAUCAAUAAUAUUUUUAAUUUGGUUCAAUAAAGACUCAUCUUUUUAUUUUCUUUUAUCAGACAAAACUUCUUAUGUGAAGAUUUCCUCGUCUUUGUUUCUCUACAGCAAAUCAAGUAAUCCAAAGUACUCAGAUUACAUUACUCCCUUUAAUUAAUUUAAUGGAUUACGUUACAAACUACAUUUUGGGGGAUGUAAUCUGUAAUCUGUAGGGGAUUACAUUUUAAAAGUAAACUUCCCAACACUGUUUACAGAAUGUAGCAUAAAUAUGUUUAUAAAAGUAGAAAUGAGAGUUUUUGAAUGUGACGAGAGCAGAUUUUGCACUGUUUGUUAGUUUGGAGUUUAGCUUUAUUCAGGCUACGAUUUGAAGCCGGUUCGACGUGUUUCUGAACAUUUUCUACAAACGCCAAAGAUUAAUAUUUUGUUUACAUUUUGCUGAAAUUCUAAUCUGGACUUUUAAUGCCUAUUUUUGUCUAAAUAUGUCUGAAAUAAAGUGAUAUUUACACA